rnacentral:rRNA from 1 species
CUCAGGAUGAACGCUAGCGACAGGCCUAACACAUGCAAGUCAGGGGCAGCAUGGUAUCAGCUUGCUGAUACCGAUGGCGACCGCGCACGGGUGAGUAACGCGUAUGUAAUCUGCCUGUAACAGAGGGAUAACCCGGAGAAAUCCGGCCUAAUACCGCAUAAGCGCACAGUACCGCAUGGUACAGUGUGAAAAACUCCGGUGGUGUGAGAUGGACCCGCGUCUGAUUAGCUAGUUGGCAGGGCAACGGCCUACCAAGGCGACGAUCAGUAGCCGACCUGAGAGGGUGACCGGCCACAUUGGGACUGAGACACGGCCCAAACUCCUACGGGAGGCAGCAUGGGGAAUAUUGCACAAUGGGGGAAACCCUGAUGCAGCGACGCCGCGUGAGCGAAGAAGUAUUUCGGUAUGUAAAGCUCUAUCAGCAGGGAAGAAGAAAUGACGGUACCUGACUAAGAAGCACCGGCUAAAUACGUG